UGGGGAAUAUUGGACAAUGGGUGAGAGCCUGAUCCAGCCAUGCCGCGUGCAGGAAGAAGGCGUUAUGCGUUGUAAACUGCUUUUUGCCAGGGGAUAAAAAGACCGUGCGCGGUUAAUUGAAGGUACCUGGUGAAUAAGCCACGGCUAACUACGUGCCAGCAGCCGCGGUAAUACGUAGGUGGCAAGCGUUGUCCGGAUUUAUUGGGUUUAAAGGGUGCGUAGGUGGCCCUGUAAGUCAGUGGUGAAAUAUCUCAGCUUAACUGAGAGGGUGCCAUUGAUACUGCAGGGCUUGAGUACAGAUGAGGUAGGCGGAAUUGACGGUGUAGCGGUGAAAUGCAUAGAUAUCGUCAAGAACACCGAUAGCGAAGGCAGCUUACCAAGCUGUAACUGACACUGAGGCACGAAAGUGUGGGGAUCAAACAGGAUUAGAUACCCAGGUAGUCCCUGAGCGGGCUGGCAAGGCGCAU
rnacentral:rRNA from 1 species